AACUCUGUAGCUCAGAGGAUAGAGCGCAAGGCUCAUAUCUUGCUCAAAAGAUUUGAUACCUUGAGGUCGCUGGAUCGAAACUAGCCAGAGUUA